AGAAUUAAUUGUGAAGACGCCUUGAUAUCACGAUGAAAUCUAUUCUCUUUGCUUUAGUCAUCUUCGCUGUGGCUAUGCAGGUUUUUUCGGAUAACUUAACCGUCAAGGUUGAUGCAGGCAAGGAGAAAUUUCUCACUAGCCUGUUCAACAUAACCACCAUCGUGUGCAGUACUGUCGUAAAGCCAGUUCAGACUACACUGACUACUUUGGUAUCCAAGUGCCCAGUGUAAGGUCCUACUUAUGAAUGGAGGAGUAAGAUCUGCUAGUCUACCA